rnacentral:lncRNA from 1 species
CCUUCUCAUGUAGUAGGGUCAUGUACCAUGGUACCUUCCACCCUGUGUUCUCAGCCAUGGUGGUACUGGUGAAGUUAGACUUGUUCUGAUGUCCCUCUCUAGCUGCUCCGGGGUCAUCGCCAUGUAAAGUCCAAAGACGAAAAAUAACCCUGAAGGAAGGAGAGAUGACUAGAAAGAAUCCGGUUGACCGCUUUAUGUGUGGAUUAAUUGUUGGAGUAGAGGACCUUGUGCAUUUCAGGUAAAAUAACAACUCAAUGUUUAUAUCCCAGGACAAAUAAGCUAGCUAAAUUGCCAUAAAUGUUUAAUGCUUUUCGACCUGUCCCCAAAUUAAUAUAAUUGGUUGAGAGUUUGUUUUGAUAUUUCGUGUCAUGAUCGCGUUUGGAGUGAGGGGACAAAAUCAAUUUGCGCACGAUGGCGGAUGCACUCGCGCGUCUGGUUUGGGCAUGGUGUAAUGGUUGUUUAAAUCUAAAAUUAGCUUGACGCGUUUUCGGUUAUCCUACAGACUCAGCGCAUUGCUACAUGGUACUUGAAGGAGAAUUGGAGGUUAAUAAUUUAUUACACUGUUUAGAUUGAGCACAUUUAAACGAAAGCUAAACUUCGUCAUGACGAUAUAAACGGAUGGAUGUGUUCCAGAUGAGGAAGGCCAUCUAUUGGCUGAUUUGGCGGCCUGGAGUGUAGGUCAUUGUUUUAUGAAAUGUGAUCCCAUAUCUCCAGUGACAAUAAUUAUGUAGCUAUGAAGUGUUCUCACACGAUUUCCUGAUUUUCACAACUUGGAAGUUACAUCAUGGGGAAAUGUUGUAUUUUACCCACUGAUAGAACAUAAACAUUCACCAAAUAAACAGGAGUUAUGUUUUUUAUUUCUGGGGGUGGAUUAUCCCUUUAAACUGUAUAGUGGUUAAUCAGUAGCCUUGCCUCAACCUAGUCAAAAUGCGAACCAAGGCAGGGUAAAAGAUGCAUUAUUUGUGUAUGUAGAAAUAAGUAACAAACAAGGACAUAUUUUAAUCUUGAUGAAUGACUAUUUGUAAUUUUACGACAAGCUAAGAUGUUCUUUCCCUUUAGUUUACAAUGUCUGUUCUGCCUCUAGUGACUCAGCUGCCUUCUGAUGUUUAUUAAGUCUGCUAAACUCACUCCAAUUUUCACUGUUAUUGAAAUAUGAAAAACUAUGGCCUUGUCAUUAUUAAUUCAUGUUUGCUUGUUGGUAACUUAGACAGGCAAGGGCCUCCAAGUGGCGCAGCGUCUAAAAAUGCUGACCAGACCGCACGCGCGCAUCUGAGUGCACCAUCGCCCGCAUGUUGAUUUUGUCCCCCCACACCAGAGAUCAGGACAGCAGGUUGAUUUUGUCCCCCCACACCAGAGAUCAAAACACGCAGGUUGAUUUUGUCCCCCCACACCAGAGAUCAGAACACG